rnacentral:lncRNA from 1 species
CAAAUUAACCUUUAGGUUUAUUCCGCAUUUAUUCAAGCCUAAACCAUAGUUAUUUUAAAGCGCCUAUUCACCCCCCCCCCUCUAGGCGACAUCCACGAUCUUUCAGCCGCGUGAGAUGAGCUUGGGGUCGACGGAUCUGGAGGUGUAGGACUCAUAUCCUCUACCUGCGAUGCCGGAGUUCGCCGGAUGGGAACUUGUAUGACGGAGUGGAGUGGAGUGGCUAGGGUUUGGUCGGGGGAGCGGAUGAGGACGAAUAUAUGUGGGGUUGGAUGGGCCAGCGUGGGCUAGCUCUGAUGUGGAGGACACGCCCGGCCGCACUCGGGCAUCCCCAUAUCCGCCCCCAUAUUCAGGUUGAUUAUGAUGGUUGCCGGUCAGCUCGGACAUUUGAGGUUGUUUUGAAGCGCCCGUCUGGGUCAGUUUUCUUUUACCGGUCAGUGACCCAACCGUUUCAUGCGGGCGUAUGAAAAGGGAUUUGAGACCACGGUUGUAGAUGCUCUAAUAUCUGCUACUCACCUGUUAGUAGAAUGGACUUUUAAUUUUGACACAAUUAUAUGAGAGUGAUGUUAUAAGCUAGGGCAUGUCUAGGGAACAUCUAGACUAGUUAUUGCACAUCUAAAUGGCUUAAUUAUAUAUAAACAGGAAAAGAACCACCCACAUGAAUCUUCGCCUAAAAAUAAACCAUAUAUAAUUUAGAUGUACAAUUCUUAGGGCAUAUUCAUAUGUGCUUUAGCAAAACAGUAUAAACUACACACAAAUAUAUAUUGAAUUACAUUUCAAAGUUAGAGAAGUUUAACUACUUAGAUGGGCAGGGAAUGUCUACAAGACAAUCAUUAUUUUUAAUUAGUGAUGUGGUUAAUAGCGCCCUUUAUGGUAUGCAAGGGUGAUGGCUGAGAUGACCAUCAGUCCAAGGUGCCCACUCUUGCGACAAUAUGACCAAAAGGGAACAGUCGAAAUGAAGAUGAAUCCAUCUAAAAAAAGAUGAAUUGGUUAGAGAUAUGCCAUUGUAAUAUCCAUAGCAAUGAUCAUUUUUUUUGUAUGUACGACAUUCAUAUGGCAUGGAUUCCCUUUUUUACUCAAUAAUAUGGGCUAGGUCCUUUUCUUUGUCAUCAGUUUUGUUGAUAGACACUAUAGACAAAGUUUAUUGUCUUGACUCACACUCUCUGCAUUUUAAACCCGAACCGGAAAACCAUGCCAAAAAUAGAUGGAACGGAACUAAUUUUGUGGUUUUAUAGUUUUUGAUUUUUAGUACAGUAUGAAAAUUUCCUACCAUUUUGAAUUUUGGGUUCCAUGGUAUAUAGCUAAAAACCAAACAGUUGACCGAAUUACAAAAAUAUAUUUAUACUUUUUGAGCGAACGACCAUACAAGGACUCGAUCACGUAAGCACGUGAGCUUGUCUCGCUUGCAUUGUCCAACAUUCACGCGCUCAAGCAUAGAUCUUACAUCUGCUCAUCAUCAGGUAGGUAAGCAAGGUGGUACUAAAGUUGCUGCCGUCGUUCAUAUAGACUGAUUGGCCGGUGACCGCAUACAAGAUUAAGAGAAGUUGCGACCUACUCACUCAAGCUCAUGGGAAAGUUAAUGGGUAGACCAAAAUCCCAAAAGAGCUUGUAAUGCAGACAUUUUUCUUGUACAUGAGUAUGAUUCCCUACUAAGCACAUCCAUUUCUAUUGUAAAUAGUCAUUUUUCUGGAAAAAAAAGCUAAGCACGAUCAUAAACAAAGCAAAGUAUGCAUUGCACAUUUGCAUGCACGACCAGCCAUCAAGGAGUAAACACAUCCAUGCAUAUGUACGUAUUUGUAGUUAUAUAUUGUUUGUGAAUCUAAGAACUUUCGAAGUAUAUCUUUAAGAUUGUUCAGGUGAUCUGGAUCAAUAUUUAUGAUGGUUCACUGCCAUCCAUAUUAAUUGAAUAGUAGGACUUCCCAAUCCAAAAGAUUCUUCAAUAGACAGUUUUAUUUCAUCAUUAUGCCAAGCUUCAUUGAUCAGAAUUUUUCAAUAUUUCAAUAAUCAGCACAAAAAGGUAGGCGAGAUAGAUGAUCCCCCUAUAUGAUACCUCCUUUGCAAACAAUUCUUUUGCCAGUCGCACCAUUAAGUGUAACAUGGGUUAUAGCAGAGUUCAGUAUGCUCCUUGUCCACAUGAUCCAUUUCCCCCAGAUCCAACUGUUGAAGCGUGAAAACAAUAGCACAAUGGUCUAUCUUAUCAAAUGUCCUUUUCUUAACCAAUCCUAGAGAUAAAAAAAUCUCUUUUUGAUUUGUGGCAGAUUUGAAGGUAUUCAAAAGCCCAAUGUAAGAAUCUAGAAUAUUUAUGUUUUUAACGAACACACAUUGAUUAUUGCUACGUAUAUGAUAUUUUUCUGCACUAUGUUAGCUAGUAUUUUUGUUAAAACUUUAAUAGGCAUGCUUAUAAGGGAGAUUGGUCUGUAGUUUGUUGUAGAUUCAGAAGUAUCCUAGUAAUGAGUGAAAUGCAGAUAGUGUCAACAAGUUAUCAGUUCACCUUUUUCAUCAUGAAAGUCAAAACAGAACCUAUAAAAUUGAUUUGUAAUAACAUGCCCACACCUCUAAAUGAAAAAACCAUCGAAACCAUCUACUUGUAGGGAUUUAUCAUUGUGCAUACAAUUAACAACCUGGUCAAUCUUAUGAGUGAUGAGUGUGUAUUCCAAAUGAUUGAGAUUAUUAUUUGUAGCUAAAGCCAAGUAUCAUUGAUCUUUCGUCGGUGGUGAAAGGGUCCCGAUGCUUUUCUCUAGAUAUCUCUAAUUGCAUAUUAAAAAUGUCAAAUAAAAUGUUCACGCUACUAGUUAAAUGUGUCAUACUACUUAUGAGUAACAUAACAACUUUGUACUAUACGUCCACCUUUUUAAUUACAAUAUCUACUGAAAAUGUUCAUGCUCUCAGAUAAAUAAUAUGUGUGUAUUUAAAAAAUGUCCAUAAGUUCAAAAUGUCAUAGAUUUUAAAAAAUGCUCACACAUCCAAAAAUGUAGUUGUGUUUUUUCAUAAAUAAACAGAAGUGGUGAAAGUAAUUUGAAUCAAAAUGCAAAUGAAGAUAAUGUUUUCUUGUUGAAACACACAAAAAAGGAAAAUUAAAAUAUAGAGAAGGAGGGGGGGGGGAUAAUAAGAUAUAAUAAUAGAAGAAAAGGACAGGUAAAAGAAGCCAAGCAACCAGUAAUUGGCCGUACCAAAAAGGGGUGCUAGCAUAGCAUCCUUAGUUCACACAAUGAGCAUGGGAAACCUCUAAAACAUGCACGCUUAACAUGUUGGAGCUUAAUUCAAAUUAGACAUGGAAUUCUAACAUGCCUCUAGCAUGGAAAGCCAAUUAUGGAGACAUCUAUAUAUAGGAAGGGUGAAGGCUUUAGCCAUUUUCGGAACCUACCCAUCGAUAAGAAGUGCCCAAAUUUGCCAAUCCAAAUAUGGAAGUCCAGGCCCACAACGCUCCUCCCCUAAUGGGUUAUUUGAAAAACCACGAGGAGAAAAAGAAUGUAAUAUAAUUAUAGUUGCACCAACACACUAUAUCAAUUGUAUUUCUGCUAUGAGUAUACGCGUCUCAAGAUAUGGAUUUUCUGUAAAACCGAAAACAUGUAGAAAACAUCAAGUGGAUUUGGGCACUAAAUUAAUAGGUUAGUCCAGAAAAAUAAUAUAAGUUGCUAUAAUUUUUUUUCAAAAGUGAUAAUGUAAUAGCAUGAAACAAUCACAAAUUAUAGAUACAUUUGAGACGUAUCACAGACUUCAUGUGGAAAUCUCAGGCACCUCUUCAGUGUCGUUUCUUUACAUGGCUGGCACCACGGAAUAGAUGAAGGACUUCGGGCUGACUGGCAUAGAGGGGUUUGCCUCACCAGGAAGUGUGCUUGCUAUGUGCAGGUUGAGGACAUGAUCGACCACAUCCUACUCACGUGUGUGUCCGCAAGGACCGUGUGGACUCAGAUCUGUUUGCCGCUGGGCAGGCCAGAGUGGACACCAACAACAAAUGGCACGCUCAUCAAAUGGUGCUCGGACGAAGCUGCUAGGAGAUACAUACCUAAGGAAUUCCGUGCCAUGUUCAUCCUCGCCCUCUAUGGCAACUAUGGAUGCAUCAAAAUGCCGUAGUGUUCGAUAGGGGACUCGCCCUUACGACCGAUAGUGGUCUCACGAAUUGCGAAUGAAGGUGGGGCAUGGCGAUAAGUGGGCCUUCUAAAAGGAGAUUUGGAUGUUUUUUCGGUGCUUUAGCCAUGUGGGCGAGAGGGGAGUAGUUUUUUUGUGAUAGUUUGAUGCAUGUUGGGUGGAGUUCUUAUGGUGUCUGGUGGGGUUGUAACAACUUGUAACAUCAUACGGUGGACUGGGUUCUUUACCCUCCUUCCCCUUUAAUAUUGUGCGUAUUCGAGAUUUUUUCCCACCAAAUCCAAUUGAGGCAUUAAAACAAAAGCACUAUGUUAUACCUUAUUAGACGCUCUGUCAAAAUUGAUCUUAAAGAACGCAAAUUCUCUUUUAGAUUUGUGGCGGAUUUGAAGGUAUUCAAAAGCCUAACAUAAGGAUUCCUGAAUACUUUUGAUGUUUAACCCAUAUUAAUUAUUUCUAGGUAUUUAUAUGAUAUCUCUCUAUACCCUAUUAGCCAUUGAUUUCGUUAACACUUUAAUAGGCAUGCUCACCAUGAAGAUCUAUCUCUAGUCUACUACAGAUUCAAGAGUAGGUAUCUUAGAAAUGAGCGAUAUAUAGAGACUGUUAACAAGUUGUAUGCUUAUUUUUUUUCAUUAUGAUAGUUAAAACAGAACUUGUAAAAUAGGUCUAUAAUAACAUGCUAUCAUCUCUUCAUGAAAAGGCCAUUGAACUGUCUAGUUAUAGGGAUUUAUCAUCGUGUAUAAAUUAACAACCUUGUUGUUUUCAUCAUUGGUGAAUGUGUCUUUCAAAUGAUCGAGACUAUUAUUGGUAGCUAAAUGUUGAGUAUCCUAUAAAAUUGAUCUUUCAUCAGCGAUGAAAUGGAUCCUGAGGAUUUUCCCGAGAUAUGUUUCACUCUUUAUGAAAAGAAAUUAUAUAUGGCAAAUAAAAUAUUCACACUACUAGUUAAAUGUUCACACCACUCAUAAGUAACAUAACUAUUUUGUGCUAUACAUCAACUUUUUUAAUACUGAUAUCUAUUGAGUUCUCAAAUGAAAGAUAUUUGUGUAUUUAUGAAAUGUCCAUAUGUUCAAAAUUUAUGGUCAUUGAGUUUUCAAAAAUAUUGAUGCAUCGAAAAAUGUUGUUGCGUUUUUAUAAAUAAAUACUAAGGGUAAAAGUAAUGUAAAUCAAAAUUUAAAUAAACACAACAAUUUUCAUGGAAGCAUAAGGCCUGGGGGAUUAGAUAAUUUGUCAAGCUUUAUUAGGGGUUUGAUGAUUUAUCCCAGGAUUGUUUCAGUGGUUAGUGGCCCCGGCCCCACCCGUCAAUCUCGAUGGGGUGGGGGAUGAUCAAAGUGAAAAGUAAAGUGUGGGUUAAGAUCUAAUUUAUCCAGACCUUAUUCGUUGGAGGAGGUUUAGACGAGAAUAUCCCCAUAGGGCCCGGAAUAAUGAGGAAUCACCGUUGGCCCAUGCCAGCCCCCUCCUCCCUCCACACCAAACCCUCCGAAGACCCAGGUGACGUGUUACAAAAAACUCUAGAAGCCACUCGCGGAACGUGAUGAGACAAGGGCGCUCGCGAUGCUACUGCUAUCGUAUGCGGUUUAACCAAACAAAAAGGAUUUACGAGGAAGAGGGGGGGGGGGUAGGUGGGGACUUGAGGAAAUUAGGUGGAGGGGAGGGAAGACCAAAUCCCCUCCAAAGAAGAAAGGAAAAUAAAAAUAUAGAGAAGGAGAUAAUAAAUAAAUAAAACAAUAACAUAAUAAGGUAGGAAAAAAGCCAAGCAACCCCUAAUUGGCCAUACCAAAAAGGGUCGCUAGCUAAGCAUCCUUAUUUCACACAAUGAGCAUGGAAAACCUUUAAACUUGCACACUUUUUCUUUGCGGGGGAAGCAUGCACAUUUUACAUGCUGAAGCUUAAAUGAAAAUAGACAUGGAAUUCUAUCGAGCCUCUAACACAAAAGCCAAUUAUGGAGGCGUCUAUAUACACACAGGGAGGGAUGGAGGCUUUAGCCUUUUUUGGAAUCCCUCGAAACCCUUACCCACACAUCCCCCGUGCCUAAAUCCAUCCGUCCAAAUAUGGAAGCCCGGCUCACAAUGCUCCUCCCCUAAUAGGGCUAUCUGAAAAACCACGAGGUGAAAAAUGUAAUAUAACUGCAAUAGCGCCAACACACUAUCCCGGCGCCGAUGAUGAUGGUGCUUUUGGUUAGGCCCGGUAAACCACUUCACCAACCGAUCCACUACUUCCACUUUUAUUCAGUGAAACGGAACGGAAAAAAGUUGAAAUGGGCUAGGGGAGUACUUGAUCAUUUCUAAGAUACCUACUCUUGAAUCUAUAGUAGACUAGAGACCGAUCUUCAAUGGCGCUUUUGGUUAAAACAGAACUUGUAAAAUUGGUCUAUAAUAACAUGCUAUCAUCUCUUCAUGAAAAGGCCAUUAAAACGUCUAGUUCCAGGGAUUUAUCAUUGUGUAUAAAUUAACAACCUCAUCGAUUUCAUCAUUGGUGAAUGUGUCUUUCAAAUGAUCGAGACUAUUAUUGGUGGCUAAAUGUUGAGUAUCCUAUAGAAUUGAUCUUUCAUCAACGAUGAAAUGGACCCUGAGGAUUUUCUCGAGAUAUGUUUCACUCUUUAUGAAAAGAUAUUAUAUAUGGCAAAUAAAAUAUUCACACUACUAGUUAAAUGUUCACACCACUCAUAAGUAACAUAACUUUUUUGUGCUAUACAUCAACUUUUUUAAUACUGAUAUCUAUUGAGUUCUCAAAUGAAAGAUAUUUGUGUAUUUAUGAAAUGUCCAUAUGUUCAAAAUUUAUGGUCAUUGAGUUUUCAAAAAUAUUGAUGCAUCGACAAAAUGUUGUUGCGUUUUUAUAAAUAAAUACUAAGGAUAAAAGUAAUGUAAAUCAAAAUUUAAAUAAACACAACAAUUUUCAUGGAAGCAUAAGGCCUGGGGGAUUAGAUAAUUUGUCAAGCUUUAUUAGGGGUUUGAUGAUUUAUCCCAGGAUUGUUUCAGUGGUUAGUGGCCCCGGCCCCACCCGUCAAUCUCGAUGGGGUGGGGGAUGAUCAAAGUGAAAAGUAAAGUGUGGGUUAAGAUCUAAUUUAUCCAGACCUUAUUCGUUGGAGGAGGUUUAGACGAGAAUAUCCCCAUAGGGCCAGGAAUAAUGAGGAAUCACCGUUGGCCCAUGCCAGCCCCCUCCUCCCUCCACACCAACCCCUCCGAAGACCCAGGUGACGUGUUACAGAAAACUCUAGAAGCCACUCGCGGAACGUGAUGAGACAAGGGCGCUCGCGAUGCUACUGCUGUCAUAUGCGGUUUAANNNNNNNNNNNNNNNNNNNNNNNNNNNNNNNNNNNNNNNNNNNNNNNNNNNNNNNNNNNNNNNNNNNNNNNNNNNNNNNNNNNNNNNNNNNNNNNNNNNNNNNNNNNNNNNNNNNNNNNNNNNNNNNNNNNNNNNNNNNNNNNNNNNNNNNNNNNNNNNNNNNNNNNNNNNNNNNNNNNNNNNNNNNNNNNNNNNNNNNNNNNNNNNNNNNNNNNNGGUAGGUGGGGACUUGAGGAAAUUAGGUGGAGGGGAGGGAAGACCAAAUCCCCUCCAAAGAAGAAAGGAAAAUAAAAAUAUAGAGAAGGAGAUAAAAAAUAAAUAAAACAAUAACAUAAUAAUGUAGGAAAAAAAGCCAAGCAACCCCUAAUUGGCCAUACCAAAAAGGGUCGCUAGCUAAGCAUCCUUAUUUCACACAAUGAGCAUGGAAAACCUUUAAACUUGCACACUUUUUCUUUGCGGGGGAAGCAUGCACAUUUUACAUGCUGAAGCUUAAAUGAAAAUAGACAUGGAAUUCUAUCGAGCCUCUAACACAAAAGCCAAUUAUGGAGGCGUCUAUAUACACACAUGGAGGGAUGGAUGCUUUAGCCUUUUUUGGAAUCCCUCGAAACCCUUACCCACACAUCCCCCGUGCCUAAAUCCAUCCGUCCAAAUCUGGAAGCCCGGCUCACAAUGCUCCUCCCCUAAUAGGGCUAUCUGAAAAACCACGAGGUGAAAAAUGUAAUAUAACUGCAAUAGCGCCAACACACUAUCCGGCGCCGAUGAUGAUGGUGCUUUUGGUUAGGCCCGGUAAACCACUUCACCAACCGAUCCACUACUUCCACUUUUAUUCAGUGAAAUGGAACGGAAAAAAGUUGAAAUGGGCUAGGGGAGUACUUGAUCAUUUCUAAGAUACCUACUCUUGAAUCUGUAGUAGACUAGAGAUCGAUCUUCAAUGGUGCUUUUGGUUAAAACAGAACUUGUAAAAUUGGUCUAUAAUAACAUGCUAUCAUCUCUUCAUGAAAAGGCCAUUAAAACGUCUAGUUCCAGGGAUUUAUCAUUGUGUAUAAAUUAACAACCUCCUCGAUUUCAUCAUUGGUGAAUGUGUCUUUCAAAUGAUUGAGACUAUUAUUGGUGGCUAAAUGUUGAGUAUCCUAUAGAAUUGAUCUUUCAUCAACGAUGAAAUGGACCCUGAGGAUUUUCUCGAGAUAUGUUUCACUCUUUAUGAAAAGAUAUUAUAUAUGGCAAAUAAAAUAUUCACACUACUAGUUAAAUGUUCACACCACUCAUAAGUAACAUAACUAUUUUGUGCUAUACAUCAACUUUUUUAAUACUGAUAUCUAUUGAGUUCUCAAAUGAAAGAUAUUUGUGUAUUUAUGAAAUGUCCAUAUGUUCAAAAUUUAUGGUCAUUGAGUUUUCAAAAAUAUUGAUGCAUCAAAAAAUGUUGUUGCGUUUUUAUAAAUAAAUACUAAGGAUAAAAGUAAUGUAAAUCAAAAUUUAAAUAAACACAACAAUUUUCAUGGAAGCAUAAGGCCUGGGGGAUUAGAUAAUUUGUCAAGCUUUAUUAGGGGUUUGAUGAUUUAUCCCAGGAUUGUUUCAGUGGUUAGUGGCCCCGGCCCCACCCGUCAAUCUCGAUGGGGUGGGGGAUGAUCAAAGUGAAAAGUAAAGUGUGGGUUAAGAUCUAAUUUAUCCAGACCUUAUUCGUUGGAGGAGGUUUAGACGAGAAUAUCCCCAUAGGGCCCGGAAUAAUGAGGAAUCACCGUUGGCCCAUGCCAGCCCCCUCCUCCCUCCACACCAACCCCUCCGAAGACCCAGGUGACGUGUUACAGAAAACUCUAGAAGCCACUCGCGGAACGUGAUGAGACAAGGGCGCUCGCGAUGCUACUGCUGUCGUAUGCGGUUUAACCAAACAAAAAGGAUUUACGAGGAAGAGGGGGGGUAGGUGGGGACUUGAGGAAAUUAGGUGGAGGGGAGGGAAGACCAAAUCCCCUCCAAAGAAGAAAGGAAAAUAAAAAUAUAGAGAAGGAGAUAAAAAAUAAAUAAAACAAUAACAUAAUAAGGUAGGAAAAAAAAGCCAAGCAACCCCUAAUUGGCCAUACCAAAAAGGGUCGCUAGCUAAGCAUCCUUAUUUCACACAAUGAGCAUGGAAAACCUUUAAACUUGCACACUUUUUCUUUGCGGGGGAAGCAUGCACAUUUUACAUGUUGAAGCUUAAAUGAAAAUAGACAUGGAAUUCUAUCGAGCCUCUAACACAAAAGCCAAUUAUGGAGGCGUCUAUAUACACACAGGGAGGGAUGGAGGCUUUAGCCUUUUUUGGAAUCCCUCGAAACCCUUACCCACACAUCCCCCGUGCCUAAAUCCAUCCGUCCAAAUCUGGAAUCCCGGCUCACAAUGCUCCUCCCCUAAUAGGGCUAUCUGAAAAACCACGAGGUGAAAAAUGUAAUAUAACUGCAAUAGCGCCAACACACUAUCCCGGCGCCGAUGAUGAUGGUGCUUUUGGUUAGGCCCGGUAAACCACUUCACCAACCGAUCCACUACUUCCACUUUUAUUCAGUGAAACGGAACGGGAAAAAGUUGAAAUGGGCUAGGGGAGUACUUGAUCAUUUCUAAGAUACCUACUCUUGAAUCUGUAGUAGACUAGAGAUCGAUCUUCAAUGGUGCUUUUGGUUAAAACAGAACUUGUAAAAUUGGUCUAUAAUAACAUGCUAUCAUCUCUUGAUGAAAAGGCCAUUAAAACGUCUAGUUCCAGGGAUUUAUCAUUGUGUAUAAAUUAACAACCUCAUCGAUUUCAUCAUUGGUGAAUGUGUCUUUCAAAUGAUCGAGACUAUUAUUGGUGGCUAAAUGUUGAGUAUCCUAUAGAAUUGAUCUUUCAUCAACGAUGAAAUGGACCCUGAGGAUUUUCUCGAGAUAUGUUUCACUCUUUAUGAAAAGAUAUUAUAUAUGGCAAAUAAAAUAUUCACACUACUAGUUAAAUGUUCACACCACUCAUAAGUAACAUAACUAUUUUGUGCUAUACAUCAACUUUUUUAAUACUGAUAUCAAUUGAGUUCUCAAAUGAAAGAUAUUUGUGUAUUUAUGAAAUGUCCAUAUGUUCAAAAUUUAUGGUCAUUGAGUUUUCAAAAAUAUUGAUGCAUCAAAAAAUGUUGUUGCGUUUUUAUAAAUAAAUACUACAUAUAAAAGUAAUUUAAAUCAAAUUUUGAAUAAACAUAACAAUUUUCAUGGAAGCAUAAGGCCUGGGGGAUUAGAUGAAUUGCCACGCUUUAUUAGGGGUUUAAUGAUUUGCCCUAGGAUUGUUUCAAUGGCUAGUGGCCUCGCCCACCCGUCAAUCUCGAGGGGGGGGGGCAAAAAUGAUCAAAGUGAAAAGUAUAGUGUGGGUUAAUAUCUAAUUUCUCCAUAAGGCCUUAUUCGUUAGAAGAGGUUUAGAUGAGAAUAUCCCCAUAGGGCCCAGAAUACCAAGGAAUCACUAUCGGCCCAUGCCAGCCCCUCCCCCCCCCCCACCAACCCCUCUGAAGACCCAGUUGACGUGUUACAGAAAACUCUAGAAGCCACUCACGGAAUGUGAUGAGACAAGGGUGCUCGCGAUGCUACUGCUGUCGUAUGCGGUUUAACCCAACAAAAAGGAUUUACGAGGAAUAGGGAGGGGGAAGGGGAUUAGUGAGGAAUUGAGGAAAUUGGGUGGAGGGGAGGGACGACCAAAUCCCCUCCAAAGGAGGCAUAAAGAAGAAAGGAAAAUAAAAUGCAGAGAAGGAGAUAAAAAAUUAAAUAAAAUAAUAACAUAAGAAGGUAGGGAAAAAAUGACCAAGCAACCCCUAAUUGGCCGUACCAAAAAGGGGCGCUAGUUAACCAUCUUUAUUUCACACAAUGAGCAUGGAAAACCUUUAAACCUGCACACUUUUUCUUUGCAGGAAAACUUGCACAUUUUACAUGCUGAGGCUUAAAUGAAAAUAAGCAUGGAAUUCCACCGAGCCUCUAACCCAAAAGCCAAUUAUGAAGGCGUCUAUAUACAUACAGGGAGGGACGGAGGCUUUAGCCAUUUUUGGAAUCCCCCGAAACCCUUACCCACACCUCCCCCGUGCCCAAAUUCACCCGUCCAAAUCUAGAAGACCAGGCUCACAACGCUCCUCCCCUAACGGAUUAUUUAAAAAAACCACGAGGUGAAAAAUGCAAUACAACUGCAAUUGCGCCAACGCACUAUCCCGGCUCUAUUUUUUGCUACGAGUAUGCACACCUCUGGUUAUAAUUUCUGCCAUCAAGGACUUCCCUAGCCCAUUUCAACUUUUUAUCUUCAUUUAUAUGAAAAAGCACUCCGCCAGCAAGUAAUGGAUCAGAGUUGGUGAAGUAGCUUAUCGGGCCUAACCAAAAGCACCGUCAUCAUCGGGCGUCUUAACUAUCUCAUCAAUGGCAAUAAAAACUUCUUACCAGUACCAUCAAUCCAGUGACCAGGCGUCGUGCUGUAGCUGAGAUGGAACGACCAGCUCGCCGCCAGCACCUAGAUAAGCAGGAGUAGAUAGAUAGAUAGAUGCCCCGGUUGAAAGGAUAACCAUCGGCGCCGCCCGCGAGUAGUAGCCGUGGCGUGCCAUCCGUUCGUGGUUACCACCAGAAAUGCAUUGUUAAGCCGGGUUAACCACGCGAAUUUGUUCACUCAGAGGACUCAUCCGUUCGGGUUAGCCGUGGUUUCGCUCCGUGAUGCCGUCACCGUGAUGGCAGAUUCUACCGAGGCAGGCGCAAAAAACAAAAAAGAGAAUCGAAUCCCCUCGCGAGUACCACUACCACCGGAUAAAAAGAUGCCCUAUCCCCGGGGCCCGCCUGCCAUUGGGACCAGGAUGGCCGCAGAACACUUGCGUACAACGGGACAGAGGGACUCUUGCGCGCAGCCCCCUGGAGUUCUUCUCAAUCACGGAUGGGUCCCAUUUCCCUCUCCUCGCCACGGGCCGCGGCCGCUAUAUAAAGCGGCAGGCAUCCGGAGCACGGAGACACACGCAGAGAGAGCGAGAGACCCGCCGCCCCACCCCCCUCACCCGCCGCCGCCCCGUGCGUCCCGUCCGUUCGGUCCGUUAGGGCUUCGGCCGUCCGCCAUGGCGAUCCUCGGGGAGCUCGGGACCGAGAUCCUCAUCCCCGUCUGCGGGGUCGUCGGCAUCGUCUUCGCCGUCGCGCAGUGGUUCAUCGUCUCCAAGGUCAAGGUCACCCCCGGCGCCGCCUCCGCCGCCGGCGGCGGCAAGAACGGCUACGGCGACUACCUCAUCGAGGAGGAGGAGGGCCUCAACGACCACAACGUCGUCGUCAAGUGCGCCGAGAUCCAGACCGCCAUCUCUGAAGGUGAGAAGCAUCCUCCGCCUCCUCCACCGCCCGGGUGGUCCCCCCUCCCCCCCUCUCACUCUCUCCCCAGAUCUGGGGCGGCCGUUGCUCGGCGGGAGCAGAUCCGCCCGUUUCGCGGCCGUUUCUCCGGCGGAAGCGGCCGCGCUUCGAGCGCGGACAAUGUUUGAAACUGCCGGAUAUUCUUUACUGUACAAAGUAGAAUCUCGCCUAGGCAGCCUUAAUUUUUCAGGGCCAAAUGGCUCGGUUUGUGGCCGUCCGUUGGCUCAUUUCGUCGAUUCCGGCGCUGAUCUGAGCGGGGAACUUUCGAAUUUCAGCUCCCCGAGUGUUUUUUCCUCUUCAUGGAAGGAUAAAACCAUGAGAAAGCUGAGCUGUAGCCAUGCUAAAAGCUCUUCCUUGCUUCCUUUUAUGCAAAAGGAAACCGAAUCCGGGCGCCGGAGCUUUUGAUUCGCCCGUGGGCGCUGCAGAACAGUGUCGUUUUCCCUAAGAUAUAUUUGUCGCUCCCGGCUUAGUUCCAAAUCUGCAGGAUUUGAAAGUUGGCCCCUUUGACACUUUUGUUUGCUACGCUAGUAAAUUUUUGUUUAUGUGGGGCUAGGAAAGCCUAGCAAAAUCACCAUCUUCCAUUUUUUAAAUCUGAAUGAAAUGAAAAUUGACAUCAGAUGCCUGUGUUUGGUGCCAGAUCAAGGCUUCAAUAAACAGUUCUUUUAAUGCCUUGAGCGGUGCCCGUGUUCUGCGUCGGUGCUGUAGUAAAGAUGCAGCUUUCAGUGAGCAACUGCACAUCUCUACCGUCGCUGUCUUAUUUUAAUUAGAAGAGUAUCAUACUCGCUUGCUGGUGGAAGGCGCGUGAUGGAUCUGCCAGACGCAGCAAGCUGGACACGUUGCGAGCUGCCUUGACUUAGCUCACUCCACUGCCCUGGGUAGGCAGAUCCAGACCUGAAACGUCAGGCUCAUGGAUAAGGAUCCCGGCCAUCUGUCACUGACGUGUCGUCAGUUUGCCGCUAGCCUUGUGAGAUUGCCAUCUCCAUCUGCCUAACCCUCAUCGGAUGCGUGUCCUGUUUCUUGGGGUUUGGUGAUUGGUGUCACCGAUUUGUUUCUUCUUUGAUUGGGACGUGUACAGUGGAAGAUCUGCUCUUGGAAUUGUCCGCUGGGAUAGGAUUGGGUGCGUGGCCUGCUGCUCUUCCCCAGAUGUAAGACGGCAGUGGGUGGUAGAUAUUUGUUUCUCCGUGUGUCAGUCUCUAGGUAGAUCCUAUUUCGUUACUUACUAAUUUCAGGAAGGUACAAUUGAACCGAGGUUAUCUAAUAAUGUAAUAAUAUGUGCACUGCUAGCUGUAAUGAAAAGUUGGCUUUAUUUAAUAUAACUAUUUAGUUUGGUCAUAUGAGUUAUGUGUAACAGUUAACUUUUAUUGUGAACAGGAGCAACCUCAUUUCUUUUCACCAUGUACCAGUAUGUUGGUAUGUUCAUGGUCGUCUUUGCUGCGGUUAUCUUCGUCUUCCUUGGGUCGAUUGAGGGAUUCAGCACAAAGGGCCAGCCCUGCACCUACAGCACGGGCACCUGCAAGCCAGCUCUCUACACCGCUCUCUUCAGCACUGCGUCUUUCUUGCUUGGAGCCAUCACAUCUCUGGUGUCUGGUUUCCUUGGGAUGAAGAUCGCCACAUACGCCAAUGCCAGGACGACCCUGGAAGCAAGGAAGGGUGUUGGGAAGGCAUUUAUCACCGCUUUCCGCUCUGGUGCAGUCAUGGGCUUCUUGUUGUCAUCAAGUGGGCUUGUGGUUCUUUACAUCACCAUCAAUGUGUUCAAGAUGUACUACGGUGAUGACUGGGAAGGUCUUUUUGAGUCCAUCACUGGUUAUGGUCUGGGUGGGUCUUCCAUGGCUCUAUUCGGAAGAGUUGGUGGAGGUAUCUACACCAAGGCUGCUGACGUGGGUGCUGACCUUGUUGGCAAAGUUGAGAGGAACAUUCCUGAAGAUGACCCAAGGAACCCAGCUGUGAGUUCACUUCUCACUUCUCAGCUUUUGGCUAAUCGUUUUAGGCAAAUUACAAUUUAUACUGUGACUGUUAUGCUUCAUGGCAUAUCCUUUGCUGAACUUUAAACUCUUGUUUGCAGGUAAUUGCUGACAACGUCGGUGACAAUGUUGGUGAUAUUGCUGGGAUGGGAUCAGAUCUCUUUGGUUCAUACGCAGAAUCGUCCUGCGCUGCUCUUGUUGUUGCUUCUAUCUCAUCUUUUGGAAUCAACCAUGAUUUCACUGCGAUGUGCUACCCACUGCUCGUGAGCUCUGUUGGCAUCAUUGUUUGCUUGCUCACCACCCUGUUUGCGACUGAUUUCUUUGAGAUCAAGGCUGCAAGCGAAAUUGAACCUGCUCUGAAGAAGCAGCUCAUCAUCUCCACUGCUUUAAUGACUAUCGGUGUUGCGGUGAUCAGCUGGUUGGCUCUCCCAGCUAAGUUCACCAUCUUCAACUUCGGUGCUCAGAAGGACGUGUCCAACUGGUAAUUUAUUUGUCAAUAUUUUUACUCAAUUUGCAAUGUUGUACUCGCUUCUGAUUAUGCUCUCUUGGUUUCACAGGGGCCUGUUCUUCUGUGUGGCAGUUGGUCUGUGGGCUGGUCUGAUUAUUGGGUUUGUGACCGAAUACUACACUAGCAAUGCCUACAGGUAAGGAACCCAUUAGUUUCUAGUUAUAUUAUUGUUCAUAUUUUGUGUUAUGGUGUCUUAUCCCCCAAUUAGUUUCUAGUUAUAUUAUUGUUCAUAUUUUGUGUUACGGUGUCUUAUCCCCCAAUUAUUUCCUUGUGGCAGCCCUGUGCAAGAUGUUGCCGAUUCCUGCAGAACUGGUGCUGCCACCAACGUCAUCUUCGGUCUUGCCCUUGGUUACAAGUCAGUCAUCAUCCCAAUUUUCGCUAUUGCUGUCAGCAUCUACGUCAGCUUCUCUAUUGCUGCAAUGUACGGCAUUGCAAUGGCUGCUCUUGGCAUGCUUAGCACAAUGGCAACUGGUCUUGCUAUCGAUGCUUAUGGUCCCAUUAGUGACAAUGCUGGUGGAAUUGCUGAGAUGGCUGGCAUGAGCCACAGAAUCCGUGAGAGGACUGAUGCUCUUGAUGCUGCUGGCAACACAACCGCUGCUAUUGGAAAGGUAAAUUUUCCUGCUCUACAUUUGUUGGGUAACUCCUUUUUGACUUGACUACUGUUGUUUUUUGCCACAUUGAGAAGUUAAAAGUAUUUGAUAAGAUGGGCUAUUUGAUUAUUGCGGAAUUAGGCAGUGGGUGAUGGGUUUGUAGUGAAAGCCACUUUAUUGGUUAUGUAACUCACUCUUUGCAUAUAAUGUUGCAGGGUUUCGCCAUUGGAUCAGCUGCUCUUGUGUCCCUGGCACUUUUUGGUGCCUUCGUCAGCAGAGCUGGUGUGAAGGUCGUUGAUGUCCUAUCUCCCAAGGUGUUCAUUGGCCUGAUUGUCGGAGCCAUGCUUCCGUACUGGUUCUCUGCCAUGACCAUGAAGAGUGUUGGAAGUGCUGCUCUCAAGAUGGUUGAGGAGGUCCGCAGGCAGUUCAAUACCAUCCCUGGACUGAUGGAGGGAACUGCCAAGCCCGACUAUGCCACCUGUGUCAAGAUCUCCACUGAUGCUUCCAUCAGGGAGAUGAUUCCUCCGGGUGCUUUGGUCAUGCUCACCCCCCUCAUUGUCGGAACCCUCUUUGGCGUGGAAACCCUGUCUGGUGUUCUUGCUGGUGCCCUUGUUUCUGGAGUACAGGUAUCCUAGUGCUCUCCCCUUGCUUCCUGGGGAGUACCUCUGAAUCCGUUUAUUCUAGGCAUUUACCUAGUUCCUUACUUACAGAUCGCCAUCUCUGCUUCCAACACCGGCGGUGCAUGGGACAACGCAAAGAAGUACAUUGAGGUAAAUAUUCUCAGAAGCCCUGAUUGUUGAUUUCCUUUUGACUUUAUAUUGAUGAGCCAAUGUAUUGAUCAUGUCUCUUAACUUUGUCAUCAACUUCUUCGCUACUUGUUUCAGGCCGGCAACAGCGAGCACGCGAGGUCCCUUGGCCCCAAGGGUUCAGACUGCCACAAGGCGGCCGUGAUCGGCGACACCAUCGGAGACCCCCUCAAGGACACCUCAGGCCCGUCGCUCAACAUCCUCAUCAAGCUGAUGGCCGUCGAGUCCCUCGUGUUCGCGCCCUUCUUCGCCACGUACGGAGGUGUGCUGUUCAAGUACAUCUAGAAGACUCGUCGAGCGGACUUAGAAUCUACGGACACCAUCACGAAUAACUCUGCCCCGCCCGCCCGCCGUUCGUAUGUUGUGCGCUGCUGUUAUUUUUGGUUCUUGUGUCAUUAUUCCAGGAUUGCCGCAGUUUACCCCCACUUUCCCUUUGGCCUCUUGGGUGUGUUACGUUAGUCUCACCAUUACCGGCUUGUAGCUCCAUGUAGUAGAAGAGAGAGACCAGAUGUCCUCGGUCAUUAUUGGUAUGUGUCUGGCAAAUUUUCCUCGUCCCGUGAUGACGACGAUAAUGUUUGAACCCUUGAACAAUGAUAUCAUGACGAUUGUUGCAUCAUCUCACCUAUGCCGAGUCUUUAUUCUUAUUCAGCUGAUCUGUGUGCACCUGUGACUUGCUGCUCGAUCUGCAUAAGAUCAGCUAGAUAGAAGUGCUAGUUCAGAAUGUAGGAAUGUUCUGAUCUUGUGUGAAA